rfam:Gorilla gorilla gorilla genomic chromosome, chr10, whole genome shotgun sequence
GCCAGGCAUGGUGGUGCAUGCCUGUAAUUCCAUCUACUUGGGAGGCUGAGGCAGGAGAAUUGCUCGAACCCAGGGAGGCAGAGGUAGCAGUGAGCCGAGAUUGCGCCACUGUAUUCCAGCCUGGGUGACAGAGCGAGACUCUAUCUCAA